rnacentral:lncRNA from 10 species
GUGUGUGCCACCAUGCCCGGCUAAUUUUUUGUAUUUUUAGUAGAGACGGGAUUUCCCCAUGUUGGCCAGGCUGGUCUCAAACUCCUGACCUCAGGUGACCCGCCUGCCUCGGCCUCCCAAAGUGUUGGGAUUACAGGCAUGAGCCACUGCGCCCAGCCUGAGGUUAACUUUUAAAUGGAUGAACUUUGGGUGAAGCAUGUUGCCUUCUGUAAUGUGGGUGGCCUCUUCCGAUCAGUUAAAGUCUUGAAUACAGCAGAAAGCCAGCCUUCCUGAGCAAGAGAGAUUCUCCAGCGGACGGCCUUGGGACUUCAUCCGCUCCACGGACUCUGCUGGGUCUGCAGCUGGCCAACCCACACUGCCUGCACUGCCCACACUGCCCACACUACCCACACUACCUACACUAUCCACACUACCCACACCACCCACUCUAUCCACACUACCCACACUACCCACACUGCCCACACUGCCCACACUACCCACACUGCCCACACUGCAGAUGCUGGACUUGCAGCCUCCAUUACCCCAUGAGUCCCCGCCUUAUAAUAAAUCUCCUUCUCACUUUAUGCACCCCCCUACCCCCAGUUCUGUUUCUCUGGAGACCCCGACUCAGCUACUGUGAUCCCAGGGAAAGGGAGCCUCAGAGAAAGGAACCCUGUGUCCACCGGGCUUUCUCUCCAGGGAUUUGCUGACACCUCCACUGUGCAUGGCUGGGGUGAGAAGCCAGGCAGAAAACAGCUGCUUCGAGGCCAGAAUUACAGGUAAAGAGUUCAGCAUCCUCCCCUUUGUGGGGGAACUGUGGAGCACGAGGCCUUCCAACGAGAGGCCCUGGCGUCAGCACAGACCACGAGAGGGCUGGGCUCAGGAUCAGCGCCACUGAAGGACCCUGCCUGCAUGGAGGCGCGUGAUCCAAUGUUCUUUCCUUGCUGGCAGCAGAAAAUGUUACUGGCUCCGAAGGAAGAUGACAACAUCCUGCCUCUUUGCUGAAGUACGUGCACAGCAUCCAAUGCACCCAGGACCUCUCAGGGCGCCAGACCCUGGCUCUGUGCUUCGGUUGCGUGACUCGGGCAAGCUUCUCAUUUCUCCCGCCUUAGUCUCCUCUCACCUCACAGGGCUGUCAUGAGGCAUGCUGGGCACAUGCAGCUCACAGAGAAGGGCUGGCUUCCUCCUUGCACCCUCGCUUCCCUCCUUCCUCUCUCCAGCAGGCAGGCUGAUUGUGGAGAUGUCUCCUGGGCAGCAUGCGUCAGCAGGGAUUUCAUGGGGACGCAGGGCAGGUGUCUUUGGUGCCAGUGAGAGGCUCAAGCCCUGCAGGCUCCUGCCCAUGUGAGGCCAUCACCCCACCCCCGAGGCAUAAGAAGAGCCCCACGCCAGCUCCCUUCCUGAAGCCACCGUGCACCCCGUGAAAGCCCAGCUAGGUAAGUACCAGACCCUUUCAUCUCGUCCCGGUGUGUGGGGGCGUCUUCAGGGUUGACGGAGGAACCACAUUUGGGUGGGGUCCCUCCUCUUUUUCCAGAGUGACCACAGCACUCCACUAUUUCUUCUUUUCUUUCUUAUUUAUUUAUUUAUUUAUUUAUUUUUUUGAGAUGGAGUCUCAGUCUGUUGCCCAGGCUGGAGUUCAGUGGUGCUAUCUCUACUCACUGCAGCCUCUGCCUCCUGGGCUCAAGUGAUCCUCCCACGUCAGCCUCCCGAGUAGCUGGGACUACAGGCACACGCCACCACACCCGGCUAAUUUCUGUGUUUUCAGUAGAGAUGGGGUUUCACCAUGUUGCCCAGGCUGGUCUCGAACUCCUGACCUCAAGUGAUCCAUCCGCCUCGGCCUCCCAAAGUGCUGGGAUUACAGGCGUGAGCCGCCGCGCCCGGCCAGCACUCUCCAAUUUCUGAUCCAACUGCAUUGUCAUACAGAAAUCACACCUUGAUCGUGUUUACAGACUCAUUUCUACGCAUAGAUACAUGUCUCUGAUUCCAUGCACUGCAACGGUCAUUGCAUUUAAAAAAGAGGCAAACGCCAAGUCUCCCAGCGCCUUGGAAGACUCAGCCUCUGGGGGCUCCAUGGUUUCUGCUUGAAAGGCCGAUGGCUGCUUUGCAGAGAACCAGUCCUGAGACUCAUACCUUUCUAUUCCGAUGAGAGAACAUUUCUGCACAAGAACCUAGGUCAGGGUUCAUGUGUCUGUCCCUUGCGUUCUGCAAAGGACCGGAUCAUAAAUGGUGCAGCUCUGGGGGCCACCCGGGCCCUAUGGAAGGAACUUGUCCCUGCCGUCGUGGGGGAUGCAGCUGCACAUGGCCUGUGGACGUGCUCCAGGAAGGCGCCUGCGGGGGUGGCUGUGAACUCCCGCUGUCCCCAGCACAUUCCCUGUUGACACAUCCUGGCUGGGAGAUGUCUCCACAAUCAGCCUGCGUGCUCCGAAGUGAGGGGGAGAGGGGAAGGAGGGAGGUGAGGGGGCAAGGAGGAAGCCAUCACUUCUCUAUGAGCUGCGUGUGCCCAGCAGGCCUUGUGACAGCGCUGUGAGGUCGUGCACGUGAGAAGAGACUGAGGCGGGAGAAAUGAGAAAUAAAAACUGAACAUGAGUUCAAUUCAUCUUGCGUUUCCUUCAGGACAAAAUGUGAAUUUCAUGUCAGUAGUUUGUGCAACCAAGUCCUCUUUGUCCUGUGACUUUUAUUCAGGCACUGAACAGUGUAAACUGAUUCACACCUUCUGGGCUGCACCACCACAGGGGCCAGCAGGCCUGGGUCCCC